rnacentral:rRNA from 1 species
AACGAACGCUGGCGGCAUGCCUAACACAUGCAAGUCGAACGAGACCUUCGGGUCUAGUGGCGCACGGGUGCGUAACGCGUGGGAACCUUCCCUUAGGCUCGGAAUAACUCCCCGAAAGGGGUGCUAAUACCGGAUAAUUUCUUCGGACCAAAGAUUUAUCGCCUUUGGAUGGGCCCGCGUUGGAUUAGCUAGUUGGUAGGGUAAAAGCCUACCAAGGCGACGAUCCAUAGCUGGUCUGAGAGGAUGAUCCGCCACACUUGGACUGAGACACGGCCCAGACUCCUACGGGAGGCAGCAGUGGGGAAUAUUGGACCACGGGCGAAAGCCUGAUCCAGCAAUGCCGCGUGAGUGAUGAAGGCCUUAGGGUUGUAAAGCUCUUUUACCCGGGAUGAUAAUGACAGUACCGGGAGAAUAAGCGCCGGCUAACUCCGUG